CCUACGGGGGCAGCAGUGGGGAAUAUUGGACAAUGGGCGAAAGCCUGAUCCAGCCAUGCCGCGUGUGUGAAGAAGGCCUUCGGGUUGUAAAGCACUUUCAGUGGGGAAGAAAGCCUUGGGGCUAAUACCCUCGAGGAAGGACAUCACCCACAGAAGAAGCACCGGCUAACUCCGUGCCAGCAGCCGCGGUAAUACGGAGGGUGCGAGCGUUAAUCGGAAUUACUGGGCGUAAAGCGCGCGUAGGCGGUCUGAUAAGCCGGUUGUGAAAGCCCCGGGCUCAACCUGGGAACGGCAUCCGGAACUGUCAGGCUAGAGUGCAGGAGAGGAAGGUAGAAUUCCCGGUGUAGCAGUGAAAUGCGUAGAGAUCGGGAGGAAUACCAGUGGCGAAGGCGGCCUUCUGGACUGACACUGACGCUGAGGUGCGAAAGCGUGGGUAGCAAACAGGAUUAGAUACCCGAGUAGUC
rnacentral:rRNA from 1 species